rnacentral:rRNA from 1 species
AGUGAACGCUGGCGGCGUGCCUAAUACAUGCAAGUCGAACGGAGUGGCGCACGGGUGCGUAAUAUAUAGCAAAUUUGCUGCUUGCUGGAGAACAAUAGUUAGAAAUGACUGCUAUAACUCCUUAGCAAGGGAUGAGACGAGAUCGUAUCAGCUAGUCGGUGGGGUAACGGCCUACCGAGGCUAUGACGCGUAACUGGUCUGAGAGGAUGAUCAGUCACAUUGGAACGGAGGCACGUGCCAAGCUCCUACGGCAAGCAGCAGUAGGGUAAAGUGGCCAAUGGGGGUGACCGUGACGCAGCAACGCCUCGUGGAGGAUGACACUUGUCGGAGAGUAAGCUCCUUUUGUUAGGGAAGCGGUACCUAACGAAUAAGCACCGGCUAACUCCGUGCCAGCAGCCGCGGUAAUUC